rnacentral:lncRNA from 10 species
UGGUGGCAGCAUCCUGUGCAUCACUUGUGCCUCCAUCUUAACAUUGUUGGGCCCCAGGAGAAUGCGCAAUUUGGAACAGAAACUACCCAAAAUGAAGUACAGAGGAACAAAAGCUUUUGAGCUCUUGACUCCUCAGAGCCUGAGAAUCUCAUGGCAGCUGUUCUUUGAAUUCAUUUCUUCCCUGAGCCCCCAGAACUGACAGAUUAACUAUUUCUAAAGAUGGUGUCUGUGCCACUCUAGACUUGCUCCAAGACUGUGUCUAUUUUGUUAACCAUCUGAUGCAGAAAGAAGGAAGAAAUAGAGAGAGAAGGAAAGAAGAAAGAAAGAAAAAGAAAGGAAGAAAUAGAGAAGCAAGAAGAAAGAAAGAAAAAGAAAGAAAUCAAAAGAAAGAAAGAACAAAGAGAAAAGGAAGGAAAGAAGGAAGGAAGGGAGGGAGGGAGAGGGGAGGGGAGGGGAGGGGAGAGAGGAAAAUAAGAGUUAUCUCAGUUUUCUCCUUGGUUAGUGAGAGUUCACAUUGACAUGUGUGUAACUUAUCAUGAUAGCAACAGGCAUUUUAGGCUCAUUUAACUAGAACCCAGGCACUGCUCAUAUGUACAAUAGCUUCAUUCCUUUUUCAUUCUUUUUCUCUCCUUCCUUUACUUACCCCAGCAUCUAUUGAUGUUCUGGAAAUGCCUUUAUUUUUAAGAGAGAAACGAUGAGUUUUGGUAUUGGGAGACAGUGCUCCACAAAUAUUUUCAUGUUUCCUCAUGGUCAGAGCUUUAUGAACAAACAACACUGAACAAAGAACAUUUGACUGAAUAUCAAAUGUUUUAGUCCAUUUGGGAUGCUAUAAGAAAGUACCAUAGACUGGGUAGCUUACAAACAAUAGAAAUUUAUUUCUCACAGUUCUGUGUGCUGAGUCCAAGAUCAAGGCGCCAGCAUAUUCAGUGUCUGGUUAGGGCAUCUGCUUUCUGGUUCAUAGAUGGUGCCUUCUCACUGUGUCCUCACAUGGUGGCAGGGUAAAAAAGCUCCUUCAGGUCCUUUUAUAAAGACUCUAAUCCCAUUCAUGAGGCCUCCACCUUCAUCCUCUAAUCACCUCCCAAAGGCCCCACUUUCUAAUACUGUCACUUUAGGAUUAGGAUUUCAGCGCAUGAAUUUUGAGGAUACACACAUAUUUGGACCAUAGUAUGAAACCUAAAGAUAGAGACCUCAGGAUUUUUCUGUCCCUGAAACCGUUUGUUUACAGUCUAGGGUGGCAAAAUAAAAACCCUCCCCUCUUCUCCACAAAAAUAUUUUUUUUUCCAUUCAAGAGUAAAGUAUUUAUUUCUUCCUCUUUCCAGAAGAAAACAUGGAUGGAUGUCCCAUAAACUUCCAAACUUUAUAACUUCAGGGUUCCUCUUCUCCUGUAGAGCCAACGCCACUGCACAUGCAGUGACAUCAAGCCCUCAUUGUGUUGCUUUGUGAGAACGUGGCAUGCAAAACUUGGUCAGAUAUAAAGUUAUAUAUAUAUUACACACCUCACACAUGUGUGCAUGCACACACACACAUAAAUAUAUAUACAUAAGCAUAUAUACAUAUUGUGGAGGGCUAACUUUGUAGCUUGCAAAUACAGUAAUAUCUCAGAUCUUUCACAGUUUGGACUUAGCAUUUUCAGUGUACUUGCUUGGAGGAAAGAGGAAUAGGUAGCGUGAACUAGUGUGGUUAUGUUUUCUAUUCAGAUACUUUGAGGUCAGAGGUCACACACCAAACUAAACUGCCCAAAGGAAGCAUUGUGAGACAUUGGGCACAUGUAGGGCAGUGUCUUCCAGGCUCAGGUUCAGGCAAUACAUUUAUCAUUGAGCAGCAAAGGAUGAUAUUCUCCUUAUUUCUGCACAAAAGCCAGACCAUUCUGGUUUCUCAAAACAGAACAAUUAUGGCACAUUUGAAUAUAGCAUGUUUGAAAAAGCUGUUUUUUUCCAGCCUUUUACAGAAAGACCAGGGUUGUAUAAAGACUAGGGGUCCUGCCUGCUGCUUGCAAAUUUCUGGCAGCCCUGACUUCCCUGGCUUCUGACCUGCCACUUGUCCAUGAAUUUUCUCUCACUCCUGAGUCCCUCUCGGUGAUUACUGCCUUUGGAUUUUGGUUCCCUUUGACUUUACUUCUCCUGGGGCUAUGGAUUCUUUAGUGUUCUCUCCUUGGCUUUAAGUACUGCAUUCUACCACUACCUCCAUUCCAAUGCUACACCCUACUUCCACCCCAUGCAGAGUGCAGUGCCCUGGGCCUUGGCCUGUCUAGUAGGAGGCACUAGACAGAAAUUACUAAGUGAGAUUGUGUGUCUGGCUAGCAGUGCCUUGCUAGGUGACCAAGGCCAAGUCACUUACCUAUCUGAGGUUCAAUUGUCUCAUUUAUUUAAUCCAGCCUCAGGAACUGGAUUAAACCAUCAAUAAAGAGGCCAUUGUUAUGCCUCAGACAAAUGAUGAUGGGUUUGCCAAAACAAAUGCAGCUACGGUCACUUCAAUACACAACAAACCAAGCUGCAUCAUGAGCUAUUAGACUCUCACUUACACUGGGAAAGAGGGAGAUUCCAGGAGAGUGAAGAAGAAAAAUAAUAGCAGAGAGAAGAGUUAAGUGCACCAAGAAAGAACAUCAAUGUUUCAAACCACAUCUUGAGCUGUCCAUUUUUUCUCAAUAGUUUCCCUUAGGCCAAUCACCAACUUGCCUUGGGAAGUGAAUUGGCUCCAUGGCAACAAGAAAAAUGAUACCUGAGGAAAAUUUUGCAAAGCUAAACCCAAGAGAAACAAUGCCAAGCAAACAUUAAAUAUUUUCAAAAGCAUUUUAUUCUGCCCAUGGUAAUUUCCUGAGUAUAUAUUGCAAGAUCAAUGCCCUCUAUGACUCCUCUGAAUACCCUCC